CGCUGGCUCCAGAGAGUUCUCUUUUGUUCCGCCGUUCGGGUCUCCUGGUGGGGAGAUGCGCCCGACAGGCAGCGUAUCACGGCGCGGGAGGUGGUUCCGGGGUAGAGAGCUGCGCUGCGAGUGCAGAGCGGGUGUUUGGGCCACGAGCAGUGGUGCGGUGCUCGUGGAUGACAGAGCACCAGCAGUGCUUUGCUCACAGCUCGCUGGUGCUUGGCGGUCGCACGGCACGGUCACACGUUCUGCGGUCGUUGCUAAAGGGAGGAGGUAGCUCUGGAGCCCCCACAGUGUGCAGCUGAUCCCUUUCCUAGGUAGCCUUGACUGACUUUGUGCAGGAGAAAAAGUCCUUGGAAGUCUGCUGUGC
ensembl:lncRNA